rnacentral:misc_RNA from 1 species
UAGUGACCAAGUAAGAGCCUGACAAACAUAAAAUCUCAAAGCGGCCCUACACAUGCAGAACAAAACAAAAGUUUAGAUUUCAAUUUCAACUGAUGACAUACGCACAAAAGCUAGAAAAGAAACAUUGAAUAUUUGAAGGCAAACCAGCCUAAAAUCAGGGAGCUAAUAUCCAACAUCUCAAUAAAUAGAUCAGGAGGACACUUUUAUUUUAAAAAAAAUAAUAAUAAUACAGGCAAAGCAUUUGAUUGGGUCAGCAUUCCUGCUGUUAUUUGUGAAAUGGAGGACGAUAGCCUGUCUAUAUGACUGAGGAAAAGAAAACAUAUUGGUUAAUCCAGACAGCAUAUGAUUUAGACACAAGAUAAAUGUUAAUUACGAUAAAAUUUUUAGUUACAAGCUUCUGAGGACUUGAGCAUAUAUGGGUUUCACCUUACAGGCAUAAGAUUAUGCAUCACAGCAUUUUUACAACAUUAUUAUUCAUUUUGAUGUUAAAAAGUUAAACCCAAUAAUAUUAGAAACAUCUAUAACUGAAAAAUAGCCCAAAGAUGGAAAGAGGAAAAAUCAAAUGCUCAAACCUCAUAUGUUACAGUGCCUCCAGAACUUGAUGGCUGGCGAAGAGUCACAGUAGAGACAGCACCAUUUGCUGACAAAACGCAUAUAGCUCUUGGUCCUUGCUG